GAUUAAACAAGGGAUAGGUAAGAGGAGACAAAGAAUAUAAUAAUUGUGGGUCUUCUCACUGUCUUCAAGGAGUCUAAAAGAGAGGCUCUCCUUUUCUUUUUUGUCUCAUUAUAAAGUCAAUUGAUUGGUUUUUGGUUGAUUUGUGUUUCGGCAGUGGUGAUCAGAAGCUGAGGGAUUUCCACUGGCACCUAUUCUUCUCCGUGAAACAAGAUGGAGCUCUCAUGGCUGAGAGUGCAGAGGAGGGAGGAAGAGGCGGCGGUGUGAGAUGUGAGAAUGGCGAAGGUACAGCCCACAGUGGGCGACAGACGAGUGUGCCUCUUUCACUUGUGGACACCACUCUCUGCCGCAGAGCUCUUAGUUUUCUCUUAGAAGAGGAAGAAAGGACUUCCUGCCAUGGAUCCACUAUGAGACACUGUCCAUCACCAUAGCAGACACAGAGCAGAAGCAUGAUCACCUUUUCAAGUUUAUGAAAAAGGUCUUUCAUGUACUUCAAGAAUAGAGUCUCUACUGGGGGAGAUGUGCUGUGUGUCUCUUCCUUAUAUUGCUGGAGUGGCUUGAAGGCCAGAUCUCAACUUCACAGGUAAAUGAGAGGGACCUA
rnacentral:lncRNA from 1 species